rnacentral:lncRNA from 12 species
CUCUCUCCUUCCUUCUCCCCCCCCCCCUUCCCCUCCGGCCUCCUCCCAGGGGCUCGCAGGGACCGCUGGGGAGAGGGUGUCCUGCACACUCAAAGCAUUAUUACCCCGGGCGCCGAACGGGUCCCAUUUCCUCUCUUCCCUCCUGCAGCCGCCCGUCUCCCCUGCGCCGGGCGCCGGGUCCCCUGCCCCCUCACCGUGAGCCCUGCCCACGGGCCUACCCGCGGGGCUACCCACGCGGCCACUCCCUCAGGCAGGAAUCUGGAGUCUCCCCUUUCAGGACACGGAUUUGGAUGCGUUGGAUGCGUUGAGCUGAGCCCUGCUCCCUGCUCCAGUGCCCUAGAAAUGGGCCCAGCCUCCAAUUCACCUGGCACAGAUUCAGGCUCCAUUCAACCCCACGCCUUCAGGCAUAAAAGACACUGGGGCCAGCAGCUAGCUAGCAGAGGGAGAGACACAUCCCCUGGAAGUUGGUCCAAUCAGGACUCCAUUCCAGGGCCCCAGUGUCUCUCUGAAAGCAGAAAAUAGAAUGCAGUGAUCUCUCUGAAAGCUGAAAUCUGUUGUGUAAGCUGCCAGGGAGGCCGAGUAGUCCAUAGGUGUGAUGGGUAAGGCCUCAGCUACUCUUCCCACAGCCCUCGAGUGCCAUUUCAGGCCUCAGGGCUGCGCUGUAUCCCAUCUGUAUACACACAGGCCAGCAAGGAUGCCAGCAGGUUAUCACCGUGCCCCUGCUCCCACUCCCCAUCAGCUGCUGGGUGAGGGGGAACAAAGAAACAGUCAUGAGAGCCACCCCUGCCAGCCAGCAGCUAAUUGAUAGGAGGCAGGGCCUUAUGGGAGGGGGUCCUGGGGCCAGAGGCAGCUGGCAUCACUGGCUGGCCUGCCCAACAGACAGAAAAGGACUAUAUUAUUGGUUGGGUCGUUGAGCUCUCUUUUCUGAAGCUGAGCACAGGGCGGUAGGGAUUACAGAGCAUCUCUCCAUUGAGCACUCCACGCCCUGUGGCUCCCUUAUUCCCUGGUAUGAGGGUUAUAUUAAUGAAUCAAACAGGUACCCCUUCCUAGGGAGUUUACAUUCUGGAGGCCAUAGACAGAGGCAUAUUAGUAAUGCUAAUGGCAUGAGAACAGAAGCUCAGGAGGGCUGGGCUAUGGUCAGCUGGAGGACUACCUGGAGGAGGCAGCUCAUGAACUGGCAUGGCCCCCUGCUCCCUCCUUAUACAGAAAGCCAGCUCUCAUGGGCCAGGCAGCCCACAGAGAGUAGCAUCCGUGAUGACAGCAGGGACAGGCCUUGCAGUCAGAAUGUAAAACAGAAAGAGUGAUUGUUGGCAGCAAGUGUUUCUGCAGGUGAGACACAUGUAGGUGCUCGUCCUGGGUGGGUUUGCCUUUGCUGCUCCCUCUUUCCCCUUCCUCCUUCCUGCAGAUGUCCAUCUUCUCUCCAACUCCUCCUCUCUUUACCUGGCUCCCCUCUCUAUACAGGUAGGCCUCUGUUCUUCCCCUCAGGGACCCUCUCCUCGGGCUAGAGCAUCCAGGACAGCAA